UACGUAGGGUGCAAGCGUUAAUCGGAAUUACUGGGCGUAAAGCGUGCGCAGGCGGUUUUGUAAGUCUGUCGUGAAAUCCCCGGGCUCAACCUGGGAAUUCGCGAUGGAGACUGCAAGGCUAGAAUCUGGCAGAGGGGGGUAGAAUUCCACGUGUGAGCAGUCGAAAUGCGUAGAGAUGUGGAGGAACACCGAUGGCGAAGGCGAA
rnacentral:rRNA from 1 species